rnacentral:rRNA from 1 species
GAUGAACGCUGGCGGCGUGCCUAAUACAUGCAAGUCGAGCGAACGGACGAGGAGCUUGCUUUUCUGAUGUUAGCGGCGGACGGGUGAGUAACACGUGGAUAACCUACCUAUAAGACUGGGAUAACUUCGGGAAACCGGAGCUAAUACCGGAUAAUAUUUUGAACCGCAUGGUUCAAAAGUGAAAGACGGUCUUGCUGUCACUUAUAGAUGGAUCCGCGCUGCAUUAGCUAGUUGGUAAGGUAACGGCUUACCAAGGCAACGAUGCAUAGCCGACCUGAGAGGGUGAUCGGCCACACUGGAACUGAGACACGGUCCAGACUCCUACGGGAGGCAGCAGUAGGGAAUCUUCCGCAAUGGGCGAAAGCCUGACGGAGCAACGCCGCGUGAGUGAUGAAGGUCCUCGGAUCGUAAAACUCUGUUAUUAGGGAAGAACAUAUGUGUAAGUAACUGUGCACAUCUUGACGGUACCUAAUCAGAAAGCCACGGCUAACUACGUG